rnacentral:lncRNA from 1 species
GUGCUUAAGAGAAUUCAUUGAUCCACAGCCUAAGUGAUUUGGGAAAUACUCAAGGAGAAGCUCCUGUUGGUACAGUCUUUAUUAUGAAGGAUACAAGGCAGAAAGAGCCAGAUGGAAGAGAAGCACAGGACAAGGUAUCGUGGAGGAGGAACAGCAUUUCUUCCCUCUGGAGGAUGUACCAUUCAGAGAACCACCUCAAAUGUGGAAACCAGGCCCUUGUCAGACACCAGACCUGAACACACCUUGACCCUGGAUUUCCUAGGCUCUAGAACUGUGAGAACGAAAUUUCUGUUUUUUAUAAAUUACCUAACCUCAGGACCUCUGUCAUCGCAGCAUAAAUGACCUAAGACAAGUAGACUAACAGAAUGAAUACAAGCAAGAUAUAAAAUAUUAGAGGGUUGCAUGGCACAUGGAAAAUGAUAACACUGAAUAACUACACAACUAAUAAUGAAUGUAAUUUGUAAUAACUACAAAACCUGUAUAAAUAAAGGUACCUAAGAAUUUUCCUAGCCGAGAUUAUCAGUUUACCCUAGGCUCCCAAAGCUGCCUAGCAUGGUGAAAUGGAAUCAUAAGGGUAAGGCUGAGCCUGUUUUCUACAAAGUUCUAUCUGAUGAUUUGCCAAGGUUAGUAGGAUCACUGCAUCACAGUUGUCGGAUACCAACAUUGGAUAAUCAGUAAGCAGCCCUGCUCAGAAGACACAG